AUACGGAGGGUGCAAGCGUUACUCGGAAUCACUGGGCGUAAAGCGCGCGCAGGCGGCUUGAUAAGUUGGAUGUGAAAGCCCACGGCUCAACCGUAGAACUGCAUCCAAAACUGUCAGGCCAGAGUGUGGGAGAGGAAGAUGGAAUUAGUUGUGUAGGGGUAAAAUCCGUAGAGAUAACUAGGAAUACCAAAAGCGAAGGCAAUCUUCUGGAACACUACUGACGCUGAGGCGCGAAGGCGUGGGGAGCAAACAGGAUUAGAAACCCUGGUAGUCC
rnacentral:rRNA from 1 species